rnacentral:rRNA from 1 species
GAUGAACGCUGGCGGCGUGCUUAACACAUGCAAGUCGAACGGUAAGGCCCUUCGGGGUACACGAGUGGCGAACGGGUGAGUAACACGUGGGUGAUCUGCCCUGCACUUCGGGAUAAGCCUGGGAAACUGGGUCUAAUACCGGAUAGGACCACUGCCUGCAUGGGUGGUGGUGGAAAGCUUUUGCGGUGUGGGAUGGGCCCGCGGCCUAUCAGCUUGUUGGUGGGGUGAUGGCCUACCAAGGCGACGACGGGUAGCCGGCGUGAGAGGGUGACCGGCCACACGGGGACUGAGAGACGGCCCAGACUCCUACGGGGGGCAGCAGUGGGGAAUAUUGCACAAUGGGCGCAAGCCUGAUGCAGCGACGCCGCGUGAGGGAUGACGGCCUUCGGGUUGUAAACCUCUUGCAGCACCGACGAAGCGCAAGUGACGGUAGGUGCAGAAGAAGGACCGGCCAACUACGUGCCAGCAGCCGCCGUAA